rnacentral:rRNA from 1 species
CCUACGGGUGGCAGCAGUGAGGAAUAUUGGUCAAUGGCCGAGAGGCUGAACCAGCCAAGUCGCGUGAGGGAAGACGGCCCUACGGGUUGUAAACCUCUUUUGUCGGGGAGCAAAGCGAUGCACGUGUGACUCAUUGAGAGUACCCGAAGAAAAAGCAUCGGCUAACUCCGUGCCAGCAGCCGCGGUAAUACGGAGGAUGCGAGUGUUUCUCGGAUUUAUUGGGUUUAAAGGGUGCGCAGGCGGAGGUGCAAGUCAGCGGUAAAAUUGCGGGGCACAACCCCGUACUGCCGUUGAAACUGCAUCCCUUGAGUGCGCGAGAAGUAUGCGGAAUGCGUGGUGUAGCGGUGAAAUGCAUAGAUAUCACGCAGAACUCCGAUUGCGAAGGCAGCAUACCGGCGCGCAACUGACGCUCAUGCACGAAAGCGUGGGUAUCGAACAGGAUUAGAUACCCCGGUAGUC